CCCCCCCCCUGCCAUGGCUGCUCUCUGUCCCUAAUACCAGCAGUGUCCCCCCCCUCCCAUGGCUGCUCUCUGUCCCUAAUACCAGCAGUGUCCCCCCUCCCAUGGCUGCUCUCUGUCCCUAAUACCAGCAGUGUCCCCCCUCCCAUGGCUGCUCUCUGUCCCUAAUACCAGCAGUGUCCCUCCUCCCAUGGCCGCUCUCUGUCCCUAAUACCAGC